rnacentral:rRNA from 1 species
CGCGUAGGCGGACCUGCAAGUCGGGGGUGAAAGCCCGAGGCUCAACCUCGGAACUGCCUUCGAUACUGCGGGUCUCGAGUCCGGGAGAGGUGAGUGGAAUUCCUAGUGUAGAGGUGAAAUUCGUAGAUAUUAGGAAGAACACCAGUGGCGAAGGCGGCUCACUGGCCCGGUACUGACGCUGAGGCGCGAAAGCGUGGGGAGCAAACA